UAUCGCACACUAGCGAGAGCUUUAAUGUGACUAUUAUUGGGCUAUAUUUCAUAAAACAGUACACUAGACGGCGCAUUAUACUUCUAUCAGAUAUAGACGUUUCUUUCGCGAAAGAAGAUGGCGGAAAAGAUGGAAACUUCUCUUCCCCAAGUACCAGAAAAUCUAUUGAAAAAACAAAAAAAGAGAGCAGAAAUUAAA